UACCAGCACCCCGAGUGGUCGGGACGUUUAUUGGGCCUAGAGCAUCCGUAGCCGGUUCUGCAAGUCUUCCGUUAAAUCCACCUGCUUAACAGAUGGGCCGCGGAAGAUACUAUAGAGCUAGGAGGCGGGAGAGGCAAGCGGUACUCGAUGGGUAGGGGUAAAAUCCGUUGAUCCAUUGAAGACCACCAGUGGCGAAGGCGGCUUGCCAGAACGCGCUCGACGGUGAGGGAUGAAAGCUGGGGGAGCAAACCGG
rnacentral:rRNA from 1 species